GACGAACGCUGGCGGCGUGCUUAACACAUGCAAGUCGAACGGAAAGGCCUCUUUCGGGGGGUACUCGAGUGGCGAACGGGUGAGUAACACGUGAGUAACCUGCCCUUGACUUUGGGAUAACUUCAGGAAACUGGAGCUAAUACCGGAUAGGAGCUCCUGCUGCAUGGUGGGGGUUGGAAAGUUUCGGCGGUUAGGGAUGGACUCGCGGCUUAUCAGCUUGUUGGUGGGGUAGUGGCUUACCAAGGCUUUGACGGGUAGCCGGCCUGAGAGGGUGACCGGCCACAUUGGGACUGAGAUACGGCCCAGACUCCUACGGGAGGCAGCAGUGGGGAAUAUUGCACAAUGGGUGGAAGCCUGAUGCAGCAACGCCGUGUGCGGGAUGACGGCCUUCGGGUUGUAAACCGCUUUCGCUCAUGACGAAGCUUUGUGUGACGGUAGUGGGUAAAGAAGCACCGGCUAACUACGUG
rnacentral:rRNA from 1 species